AUCCUUUGUAGUUCAUAAGUGUGAUGACUGGGUUUUCAUACCCAUGUGUGGAAUGUGCCUCCCUCAAACCUUAUUACGACAUUGUCACAUUACCCAUCUAAUG